AGUGAACGCUGGCGGUAGGCCUAACACAUGCAAGUCGAACGGCAGCACAGUAAGAGCUUGCUCUUACGGGUGGCGAGUGGCGGACGGGUGAGGAAUACAUCGGAAUCUACUUUUUCGUGGGGGAUAACGUAGGGAAACUUACGCUAAUACCGCAUACGCCCUACGGGUGAAAGCAGGGGAUCUUCGGACCUUGCGCGAUUGAAUGAGCCGAUGUCGGAUUAGCUAGUUGGCGGGGUAAAGGCCCACCAAGGCGACGAUCCGUAGCUGGUCUGAGAGGAUGAUCAGCCACACUGGAACUGAGACACGGUCCAGACUCCUACGGGAGGCAGCAGUGGGGAAUAUUGGACAAUGGGCGCAAGCCUGAUCCAGCCAUACCGCGUGGGUGAAGAAGGCCUUCGGGUUGUAAAGCACUUUUGUUGGGAAAGAAAAGCGGCAGGUUAAUACCCCGCUGUUCUGACGGUACCCAAAGAAUAAGCACCGGCUAACUUCGUG
rnacentral:rRNA from 1 species